GAUCCUGGCUCAGAUUGAACGCUGGCGGCAUGCUUUACACAUGCAAGUCGAACGGUAACAGGUUAAGCUGACGAGUGGCGAACGGGUGAGUAAUGCAUCGGAACGUACCCGGUCGUGGGGGAUAACGCAGCGAAAGCUGCGCUAAUACCGCAUACGAUCUGAGGAUGAAAGCGGGGGACCGUAAGGCCUCGCGCGAUCGGAGCGGCCGAUGUCAGAUUAGGUAGUUGGUGGGGUAAAGGCUCACCAAGCCGACGAUCUGUAGCUGGUCUGAGAGGACGACCAGCCACACUGGGACUGAGACACGGCCCAGACUCCUACGGGAGGCAGCAGUGGGGAAUUUUGGACAAUGGGCGCAAGCCUGAUCCAGCAAUGCCGCGUGCAGGAAGAAGGCCUUCGGGUUGUAAACUGCUUUUGUACGGAGCGAAAAGGUCUUCCCUAAUACGGGAGGCUGAUGACGGUACCGUAAGAAUAAGCACCGGCUAACUACGUG
rnacentral:rRNA from 1 species